rnacentral:rRNA from 1 species
ACCACAGUCAUAUCACCCUGCAUCCCAAGACUGGUUGCCCACUGAAGCUAAGCAGGGCUGAGCCUGGUUAGUACCUGGAUGGGAGACCUCCUGGGAAAACUAGGUUGCUGCUGGAA